rnacentral:lncRNA from 1 species
UUGCAGCUGUGGCGUUAGCCUUGAGCUGAAAGAGAACACAGAAGAUACAGUCAACUGACACCGUGAGGAAAUAAUCAGGCAGAUUCAGAGCACACUGCAUGGACUCUUUGGGCCCUUUGAAGAACUCAGGCUUUACAAAAGUUAACCUCAUGAAAAAUUAAAGGACAAGUCAACAUCCAUGUGAACGUACACAAUGAUCCCCAGGCAGAAAAAGAUUCCGCUGAGCCAACAGAUAGCUGUGAUUCCGUUAGUGGUAGUGAAAGUCGUCCUACACAACAACCCUCCUCUCUCUUGUCUCCCUCACACCGGCCACGAAGGUUUUCAAAGUGACUCCUUUUCACCUGGCCACUUCAGCCAAAUUACUCAAACGGGAGCCCUAUGCAGACGCACAGAAAGCAUCCUGGAAAGGGAAAAUUUUUACAAGGAGAGAGGGAAAUGAAUCCAGUAGAGAUUCUAAUGUGCCUUUCUUCCUAGCCACAGGGGAAAGCAUUUAUAUCUUCUCAAACAUAAUUACCUUCCUGGUGUUUAAUGAAUUCAACUUUAAUUCAUGCCAUCCAAUUUAAAUCUGCGAAAAUUCUAGACGUGGGGGAAACUUCCUUCUUGCGUUUGUUGGUCUGGUAUAUAAAAGUAAAGCUUUAAAUGUCUAGAGAUUAUUGAUUUGGUUGUUUACUGGGAGAAGUCCAGCGGGG